rnacentral:lncRNA from 1 species
GGUGAUCCUAUGCCAAAAUAUAACAACUACACUACUCGAUAACAAUAAAGGCAUAAAAGUAAAUAGAGAAGAUAAAUAUAUUAAAGCAUAAGUCUUACAAUAAACUCUAAAGACUUCUCCAGAACCGAAGCGCAGCUCCGCUCUCCCUAACUCCCGACUAGAACUAAUCUACUACAUUGGAAUGUCUAGCCCUAAUUCUCUAUAGAGUUAAUGUUAUCCUUUGAGGGCACCUCUCAACUCUAUAAUGAUGUGUUCUCCUCUAGGGGCCAGGGGCCUUGCUUAUAUAGCCUCCUCCUUUGUGCCUUUUUGGUUCAGCAGGCGAUGUGGUACUAAACUUUCCACCAAAUCUCAUUAAAAUGCACAUAGGCCUUAAUGGACCAAAAUAUGAUUUGGGCCUAAUUAAUCCCGCAGCUCUUUUAUGUGGAGUCCUUCUUUUAUUAAUAUCUCUUGAUUCCGAACACCAAAUAUAGCAAAUAAUAUAUGUAUUUUGAUCAGCUCAACGAGAUCUUUGUAAUGGUAUACUCCAUUCUGUGAUUGGUGCUUGUACCAGGGCGAGCGCCCCGGCCCCAGGCCCGUCUCGGCUCCGCUUCGGUCGAGUUGCUUCUAGAGUCUUCCUGAUUAUGGAAAAUUACCGCACAUAUUAUUUCUCUAUGUAAACCCGACGUGUGGGCCUUUCCUUCGUAUUUCCUGAUAACCCCCUGCAGAAAUAGACAAACACCAAAACUCGUGGAAAUCUGUCAGAUGAAACCCUAAGUCUAGGUGUCGGUUGCAUUUGGAUCCUUUUUCAUGAUUAGUUGACGGUUAAAUGUGAGCAUUAAGGACCGUCAACAAGCUUCCCCAAGCUUAACCUUUGCUCGUCCUUAAGCAAAGAUGGACUCACGAGUUUCUGCAGUGGUUUCAUGCCUUAAAGGUACACAUGCGUUCAAACAAGAUCUCAUCUCUGGGUUAGGGUAAACUGUUAAGAUUUAAACUUACUCAUUUUACCUUCCACCAUGGGGCUUGCAACUGUCACUUAUGUCUUGAGCAGUUAAAAGAUAGAACGGUCUAGUCAAGCGUCAUGUCUCUUGUUCUUCGAUUAACUAUAGCUCUAGAGUUUUUGCAGAUUUUCAAAUAAAACUUAGAGAUUCCUUGUAUGACUCUCUCUAAUCUCUCUUUUGUGGUAUUUCUGGAUCCUUACCAAGGCAGUAAUAGUGUAAGCCUUCUCUCAAAAUAUGUGGUAUUUUUGGUAUGAGGCAUAGUGGUAUUGCCUUCUAUCUCACCCUACUCUAAUAAGGUUUUGAUAUCUAGAGCUCAUAGGUGGGAGACAGCUAAUACAUACUUACAAGACACUUAUUGCAUAGUCAAACCAAGGAUCCAAAAGAACAAGUCAAUAAGUCAAAUCAAGAUGUGCAUGUGUGGCGAAUGAAUGGUGAAAAUAAUGGUGAAAGUCUAAUUCUACUUUUGCUCUUUUGAGGGCGUACAUACCUUUCUUGCACUUGAGGCUUUUGAGGGGAAUGAGACGCUCUAUAUUUUAUUUUUCUUUUCUCUCAGGUGGGUAUCUUGUACCCCUAAUUCUACUGUCGGACACUUGUCCAUUUUUACCUCUCGUCUCACAUUUUCUUUUUUUUUUUUGAGGUUUCAGGCACUUGCCCCUUUUUAUUUCCUCGUAUUCACUUUUUUCAUAACACUCACCCUCCUAGAAUAAUGUAGCAAGUGGUAGUAACCAAAAUAUCUCGAGCAUUUAUUUCACGGGGAAUAACAGGGAUAGGAUAAUGUUUUUGGCUAUUCUCUCCUAGAUAGGAGUAGAAUAAUUUUGGGUGAAUCUGGAUAUGGAAAUGAGUGGAUGUAUGUGGAUGCGUACUUCUGGAGUAGAAGCAGCAUGUAUGAGUGAACGUGCAAGUGAAUCUUGAUUUUAACCGCAUGACAAGCUUCUAAGGGUCUACACAGCUUGACCGCACUCAAUGCUCAUAAGCAGUGAAAAGUAAAUGUAUGGUUCAUAGUCUAAUAAGGUUGUAUAUAUGGCUGUGGUAGGAUUUUAAACUCUCAUCAUAUAGGAACUCAUCAUGCAACAUUUUAAAGAUUUUCAAAGAUAAAAUUCUCCAGAAUUCUAGCAUCUCUAGGAACAAAUAAAUAGCAGCUCAACCUUCCCAUAUCGUAUCCGUUAACGACUUAGACUUUAGAUCUCAAGUACUCUUCCCACAAGUUCAGGUUUAGAGCAAAUCUUAAUUAAUAACAGUCAUGCCUUCUUGAGAGAGAUUUCAAUUUUGAGAACUAGUCAUGGCAGAGCAACUAUUCAUCAUUUCCAUAUGAGAGUUUAUCAUUGAUGUUCAGUUGGUAUAGACACUUUAUUUAUUUAUUUAGCAAACUAAGCAAAGAUAUAAGCACAAAAUGUUUAAUUGGGUUUUUAUGAUUAUGCAUUUUUUUAUUAUUUGAGCAAAGUAUAAACGUGAAUAGAAACACUUAGCUGAAUAAAUGGGGUUGCUCUCCCCCAUGCUAGAUUUUAACAUAAUUUCUUCUGAUGUAGCUAGCAGGUGGCGUUGGUGUAUUUGAAUGUUGGCAUCACCCUGAUAGCGAUUAGGAUGUCCUCCGUCUGCUAGUCUUCCUUGAUCCUUGAAUUCUGUGGAGCUCAAAUAGACAACAAAGCUUUGUGGAACUGGUUAAGUGUUAGCAUAAAAUCUCUUAGCCUUUAUCAUGUUGAGCUUCCUCUAAUAAAUAUUACUCUUUUUAGUAGAAUCAUAAAUUUAUUUUUAUAUUUUCAUUUUUACAGGACAAGAAUAUAUUUAUUUUAUUUUUACGCCACCACAGUGAAUGAGUUUUAUGCCACGAGCAUACUCACAUGGGGCUUACCAUUUUUAACAAUUUUAUUUUCUUUUCAAGAUAGCAUGAUUAACUAACAAGCUAUUUAAGGAAAGUAAAUAAUUUAAGGAAAAAGGGAAUGCACAAAGGAAAAAUAUGGAUAACUACCGAUUUUACCUUUCGGCGAGGGUUCAAUGUUUUAAGUCUUCUGAACAAGACUUCUCACCGUGUUCAUUCUUUAGGUGCGUCAUUUGAGUUAGGUGUGGACCUUGACAUCUGCACCUCUUGAUACAGUGUCACCCAUAUUUUUCGUUUGCCCAGCAGCUCGAAGUGCGGCGUUGGCAGCAUCCUCCUCAGUGUUUUUGUGCUUGUAGAUCCAGGUCCUUCACUUGGUAGAGUCUGGGAGUUGGAAAACUCCUCCAUGUUUUGCUCGAAGUGUAUCCUGCUCAUAGAGACAAGGUAGAGAUCAAGUGCAUGGGCCCUGUUGGUGGAAAACACCAACAGAACCAAAAGUGUAUUUGUUCUUCUCUAACCUUAAGCAUAGUGAGCGAGACAAAGUUGAUGGAUGAUAAGAUCAUGAGUGUAGCAUUUAAAACAUUUGUCAGAUCGGAUCACUCAACCUUAUGGAAAGAUAAUCUAUCUAAGUAAAUGUUUUUUUCUUUACAUGACUAUCAUUUUCCAAAGAUCGGAUGUGCAACAUUUUAGCUCAUAUGGUUAAGAGUGUGGGAUCAAGAAGGUAGUACCGGAAACAAAGAUUAAAGGACUAAACAUGUUGAAUCAAUUGGGUUGGUUAAUUUAGAGUUAUAAAUCAUACAUGUUUGUCUUUUUAUCCAUGUGCAUGCCAGAAUCAAGGAGAAGCUUAUAACAGUGACAGUCACAUACCUUAAGAUGUUACCUUAAUUGAAGAGUGAUGGUACAAUAUCACCUUGUGGAAGCUUUUCUUUCUCAAUGGUUGUGCAUCUUGUUCGUGGCACUCUUCGUCUCGUUCCAUGGAUUAUCUCUCUAUGAUCGACGAGCUAUAUCUUUCUUGUGCAAAUUGUUAAACUUCAUGUGUCUCCCUCUUUAUCUCCAUUCUGAAUUUAUCUCAGGACUUCUCAAAUCGAUAUUGAAAAUUUUCCUGCAGGGGUUAGUCCAACAAAAUAUACUAGUGUCUACACAAGCAGUUUUUAGUUCAAUAACCAAACUAGACUCCAUGUCUAAUCGGAUUAAGGAAGGCUAUUUAACCUAAGCACCAUGCUUAAUUUAAAUGCCAAUGGAAGUAUGUCGAGUACUUCCAAACCAACACUUACUUGUGAAUAGACAAAGGUAGCAUGAUAACAUUAUAGAGAUCUACUCAAGUGGGGAUGAAGUAGAAUGAUUAGUGUUUAACAAAUUGAGCAUGUCUUAAGGGUAGGGACAACCAACAUAGCAACAUGGCAAAGGAUGUUUUUGUGUAAGGUAUUCCCCCCAGCUUGAACAAGUCAAGUUUGGAUGAAUUUAAUUCAAUGUUGCAUGAUGAUUGGUUGGACAUACCUUGUUGUUAUUCUUCACUCUUUUACUUCAAGCCUAAAUCGCGAAGAUAACGGGAUUGCUUUCCCCCAAGCUAAAUGUUGACAUAGUCUUUAAUCUUGAAUCCGCACAACACAGAUGUUCUUUAAUAUUCUUGAGCUUCAAAAUGUCAGUGAUGAUUGCAGCGCUUCCAAGUUGAUGAAGAUAUCUUGAUCAUUGGAGAUUCUCUCUUUAAGUCAUGUUAAACUCAAAUAGACAACAAAACUUGUGGCACCGAUUAAACAUUAGUAGUUGGCCACUUAAGCCUUAGUUGUCCAAGCUUUUUAGUUUUUUCUUCUAAGUAGAGUUUCAACAAGAUCUCUUUCUCAAUAUAUAUAUUUUUUUGGGUUUUAAUCUUUCUAUGAAGCAAAAAGGAAAUGGAACAGGAUGAAUGCAUGUUUUUUUUAUUUUUUUUAUUUUUUUAUUCCACCACGGUGAAUAUCCGUGUGGGCUUUUACACACCACACAAUUUAUUCACAUGGGGUUUUAGUAUUUAAGAUGCAAUCAGUUAUAUAAAAUAUUUUUAUUAUAUUUUCUAAUGCAAUAAUAAUGCAGAAAAAUAAAUAUGUUAUGGAGAAAUGAUGAUGAAAAAUAACUAUGCUAAAAACAAAUGCAGAAAAGAUAAAUACAAUAAACCUACUAAAGCUAGUGAUACAUUAAAUUAGCAGACAUCAAGAUCAUUACCAAAUUCUUCACACCAAUUGCUUCCCCGGCAACGGCGCCAAAAAUGCUUGUUGACAUUCGUUAAGUGUAAUAAGAAUAAGAAAAAUUUCGCAAGCGCACAGAACAUCAUCGUAGCAUUUUACCGGGAGUAUUCCAAGUAUCGUUAUUUAUAUUUUACCACUGG